rnacentral:tRNA from 1 species
UCAUUGGUGGUUCAGUGGUAGAAUUCUUGCCUUCUAUGCAGGGGACCUGGGUUCAAUUCCCAGCCAGCGCA